UACAGAGGUCUCAAGCGUUGUUCGGAUUCAUUGGGCGUAAAGGGUGCGUAGGCGGCGGGGCGAAGUCGGAUGUGAAAUCUCAGGCUCAACCCUGAAACUGCAUUCGAUACUGCCUUGCUCGAGGACUGGAGAGGAGAUUGGAAUUCAGCGGUGUAGCGGUGAAAUGCGCAGAUAUCGGGAGAACACCAAUUGCGAAGGCAGCUCGCUGGGACGUCACUGACGCUGAGACGCGAAAGCGUGGGGAGCAAACAGG
rnacentral:rRNA from 1 species